rnacentral:rRNA from 1 species
CCUACGGGUGGCUGCAGUCGAGGAUCUUCGUCAAUGGGCGCAAGCCUGAACGAGCGAUGCCGCGUGAGCGAUGAAGGCCUUCGGGUUGUAAAGCUCAAAAAAAAAAAAACUCGAAUCUCAGUAAGCUCGGGCUAAGUUCGUGCCAGCAGCCGCGGUAAGACGAACCGAGCGAACGUUGUUCGGAAUCACUGGGCUUAAAGGGCGCGUAGGCGGAUUCUCAAGUCCGGGGUGAAAUCCCACAGCUCAACUGUGGAACUGCCUCGGAUACUGGGAGUCUCGAGGGUGGCAGGGGUAUGCGGAACUAUCGGUGGAGCGGUGAAAUGCGUUGAUAUCGAUAGGAACUCCGGUGGCGAAGGCGGCAUACUGGCCCUUCUGACGCUGAGGCGCGAAAGCCAGGGGAGCAAACGGGAUUAGAUACCCUGGUAGUC